rnacentral:tRNA from 1 species
GGAUAUAGCUCAGUGGUUGAGCAUCUGCCUUGCACACAGAAGGUCCCAGGUUCAAUCCCCAGCAUCUCCA